UACGUAGGUGGCGAGCGUUAUCCGGAUUUACUGGGUGUAAAGGGCGUGUAGGCGGGUUUUUAAGUUGGAUGUGAAAUCCCCAGGCUUAACCUGGGAGGGUCAUCCAAAACUGGAGAUCUUGAGUGUCGGAGAGGAAAGCGGAAUUCCUAGUGUAGCGGUAAAAUGCGUAGAUAUUAGGAGGAACAUCAGUGGCGAAGGCGGCUUUCUGGACGAUAACUGACGCUGAGGCGCGAAAGCGUGGGGAGCAAACAGGAUUAGAUACCCGUGUAGUCCCUGAGCGGGCU
rnacentral:rRNA from 1 species